AUAGAUAGAUCUGUCUGUCUGUCUGUCUGUCUGUCUGUCUGUCUGUCUCCCUCCUGUGUGUGUGUGUGUGUGUGUGUGUGUGUGUGUGUGUGUGUGUGUGUGUGUGUGUGUGUGUGUGUGUGUGUGUGUGCGCGUGUGUGNNAUCUGUCUGUCUGUCUGUCUGUCUGUCUGUCUUUCUGUCUGUCUAUCUGUCUCUCUGUCUCUGUCUGUCUGUCUAUCUACUGUGUGUGUGUGUGUGUGUGUGGGUGUGUCUGUCGGUCUGUCGGUCUGUGUGUCUGUCUGUCUGUGUCCCUCGUGUGUGUGUGUGUGUGUGUCUCUCUCUCUGUCUGUCUCUCUCUUGUGUGUGUGUGUGUGUGUGUUUCUGUCUGUCUGUCUGUCUGUCUAUCGUGUGUGUGUGUGUGUGUGUGCGUGCGUGCGUGUGUGUGUGUGUGUGUGUCGGUCUGUCUGUCUGUCUGUCUGACUGUCUUUCUGCCUGUCUGUCUCUCUGUCUGUCUGUCUGGCUGCUGUGUUUGUGUGUCUGUCUGUCUGUCUAUCUGUCUGUCUCUCUGUGUGUCUGUCUGUCUGUGUCCCUCGUGUGUGUGUGUGUGUGUGUCUCUCUCUCUGUCUGUCUCUCUUUCUUUCUGUCUGUCUUUCUUUCUUUUUUGUUUGUUUGUCUGUCUGUCUGUCUAUUGUGUGGGUGGGUGUGUGGGUGUGUGGGUGUGUGUGUGUGUGUGUAUGUGUGUGUGUGUGUGUGUGUCUGUAUAUGUGUGUGUGUGUGUGUGUGUGGGUGUGUGUGGGUUGGUGUCUGCGUGCCCGCGUGCGUGUGUGUUUGUGUGUCUGUCUCUAUAUAUAUCUGUGUGUCUGUGUGUGUGUGUGUGUGUGUGCGUGUGUGUGCGGGCGUGCGCGUGUGUGUGUGUGUGUGUCUGUGUGUGUGUGUGUGUCUGUCUAUCUAUCUGUCUGUCUGUCUGUCUGUCUGUCUGUCUGUCUAUCUAUCUAUCUAUCUAUAUAUCUAUCUAUCUAUCUAUUUCAAUUAAAUUAAAUUAA
ensembl:lncRNA